CAGCAGCCACGGGAACACGGAGGGCGCGAGCGUUACCCGGAUUUACUGGGCGUAAAGGGCGUGUAGGCGGCCUGGGGCGUCCCAUGUGAAAGGCCACGGCUCAACCGUGGAGGAGCGUGGGAUACGCUCAGGCUAGAGGGUGGGAGAGGGUGGUGGAAUUCCCGGAGUAGCGGUGAAAUGCGCAGAUACCGGGAGGAACGCCGAUGGCGAAGGCAGCCACCUGGUCCACUUCUGACGCUGAGGCGCGAAAGCGUGGGGAGCAAACCGGAUUAGAUACCCGAGUAGUCCCUGUCUCUUAUAC
rnacentral:rRNA from 1 species